rnacentral:lncRNA from 1 species
UUACAACUCUAUCAUUUCAGUUUUGUUCACUUACAAAUAUAAUCCCUACUUCAAAGUCUCAGUUCACCACACACUAUUGCCUUUGUUUUCAUUACAAUCAUUUCUUCUUUUUCCUUAAGUAACUCAUACCACAAUUAAUAACCCCUAUAAAGAAGAAGAAAAAAAGUCAAUAUACCAAAAGUCUCUAUUGUCAUUCUUCUUCAAUUGUUUUGCUUCCUCCUUAUCCUCAUCAUCC